rfam:Myotis brandtii contig306882, whole genome shotgun sequence.
GGCGGUUCUCAGUGAUGCACCCCAGAAUCGGGCUCCCUCCUCUCUGGUUCCAGGUGUGUCACCUAAGAACUGCA